GAUGAACGCUGGCGGCGUGCCUAAUACAUGCAAGUAGAACGCUGAAGGAAGGAGCUUGCUCUUUCCGGAUGAGUUGCGAACGGGUGAGUAACGCGUAGGUAACCUGCCUGGUAGCGGGGGAUAACUAUUGGAAACGAUAGCUAAUACCGCAUAACAGUAGAUGUUGCAUGAUAUCUACUUAAAAGGUGCAAUUGCACCACUACCAGAUGGACCUGCGUUGUAUUAGCUAGUUGGUGAGGUAACGGCUCACCAAGGCGACGAUACAUAGCCGACCUGAGAGGGUGGGCGGCCACACUGGGACUGAGACACGGCCCAGACUGCUACGGGAGGCAGCAGUAGGGAAUCUGGGGGAAUGGGCGGAAGACUGAGCGAGCAACGCCGAGGGAGUGAAGAAGGUUGUCGGAUCGUAAAGCUCGGUUGUAAGAGAAGAACGAGUGUGAGAGUGGAAAGUUCACACUGUGACGGUAGCUUACCAGAAAGGGACGGCUAACUACGUG
rnacentral:rRNA from 1 species